rnacentral:rRNA from 1 species
UACGUAGGGACCAAGCGUUGUUCGGAUUUACUGGGCGUAAAGGGCGCGUAGGCGGCGCGGUAAGUCACUUGUGAAAUCUCUGAGCUUAACUCAGAACAGCCAAGUGAUACUGCAGUGCUAGAGUGUGGAAGGGGCAAUCGGAAUUCUUGGUGUAGCGGUGAAAUGCGUAGAUAUCAAGAGGAACACCUGAGGUGAAGACGGGUUGCUGGGCCAACACUGACGCUGAUGCGCGAAAGCCAGGGGAGCAAACGGG